AUACUGCUUUUGAUUGGACAGAAUUGGUGCCGGAGUAAGGAAGGGGCGGGCCAUCAAGGACCGAGGUGGGUGGGGCUCACGGCGGGUGUGCGGAGUGGGCGGGAAAACGUGGAGCCCGGGGAGAGGCCCCGCUGGGAGUUCUAGUUAGGCUUUGACAGUUGAUGACACCGGAAACUCCGGGGAAACUAAGGCACAGAGAAGUUAGCCUGUGGCUGAGAAGAUUUGAGCUCAGGUCUGUCUGACUGGCUGGUGCCCAGCACUGCCGGGCGACAAGACAGGCAGUUUCUGCAGGCGUGGGACUCACAGUGCGGCUGGUUCCAGCUAGAGGGAUCAUGGAGGUGUCUGUGAAAGAGAAGGUCCUUGAAGGAUACAGAGCAUUUGGCUUUGGGAUAGGGUACUUUUCAGCCAGGACAUUUCAGAGCAAACCAUCAGAGAUCUGCCUGUCCACAAGAGCCAUGUUUUUUUUGCUUUCUUCCUCCACGCUCUAAAUUUCCCAGAGUCUGACCUUCGCAGGGAAGACUAUGAUUUUCCAACACUGCCUGCCACUUAGUGGAGAAGAUUAAUUUGGGGGUUCAGGAGUAGUAAGCCCACUUGUCUUUCAGACCUGAAAGUACAUCUCUAUCAGCUUCGUCAGUAUUAAAGAUUCAGAGUCCUGGCUUGGCUUGGAUCUCAUGUUCACCUCCUGGCAAAAGUGGAGAGUACCUUGAUCCACAGUUCCCUCACGCUGCAAGGAAUGGGAAAAGUAGUUCCCCAAAAGCGAAUGAUGACAGUUUCCAAAAUAAGAAGGGAAGAGCUAUUGGGCAUGGAGAAACGACAGAUGUCCACUGCAGGGAGCUAUUGCAAAUGUCCUGGAGAAAGACUGUGAGUGAACUCUCCGAGAGCGGGGAGACCUUGACUGGAUCUUCUGCCGCUAGCAUGGGGCCUGGCAGCUAGUGGUCAUAAUGAAAGCUGGCAUUUGAUGGUGAAGCACCAGGCAUGGCGCUCAAUGCUUUACACAUAGUAAAUCAUUUAAUCUGCAUGACAACUUGAGGAGAUGGCUUGUUCUAGAGGAGGCCAUGUCUUGAGCAUCCCUGUGGAGAAGUCAACGUGGCAAGGAACUGAAUCCUCCUGCCAACAGCUGUGUGAGUGAGCUUGCUGUGAGCGGACCCUUCAGCCCCAGUUACAGCCUUCACGUGUCUACAGCCUUGGCUGACUUCCUGACUACAAACUCCUGUGAGACCCUGAAGCGGGCCACCCAGCUAAGCAGCCUCCUGAUUCCAGACUCUCAGAAACCGUGUGAGAUAAUAAAUGUUUGUUGUUUUAAG
rnacentral:lncRNA from 1 species